AUCCGGUUUUAAGGCGCUCUUUUUCUUGAAAACGGCCAUUGCACUGCAGUCUUGGUAGAGAAAGGCAGCCCAGCUUCUGGAAGGGGAACGUAAUAUACUAUUUGAAAAGAAGUGCAACACGUGGUGGGUUCUGGAGGGUGCUUGAAAAGUUUCUGUCGGAUAAGGCAUCAUGUUGCUGAAGGUGAAAUACCAGGGUACCAAGAAGUACAUCAGAUUGCAGUCAGGCUUCACCUAUUUGGAAUUCAUCAAUGAAGUCAAAAGCAAGUUUGGUCUUCCUGAUGCGACUGACCUUCAAAUCUUUGAUGAAACCGACACAGCAGUGGAUGAAGACAUCCUUCUUGAACUGAUAGAGUCCAAUCCUGACUUAUGCCUGACAGUAUGUGACAGCUUUUCAGUUGAAGGUCAGUUUUUUACGUCAACAAACGUAUUGCCAACAGUGGAUGAAGACAAGCUUCAUUAAAUGAUAGAGGCCAAUCCUGACUUUUGCCUGACAUUAUAUAACAGCAUUCCCGG
ensembl:lncRNA